AACGAACGCUGGCGGCAUGCCUAACACAUGCAAGUCGAACGAGACCUUCGGGUCUAGUGGCGCACGGGUGCGUAACGCGUGGGAAUCUGCCCUUGGUUCGGAAUAACAGUUAGAAAUGACUGCUAAUACCGGAUAAUGUCUUCGGACCAAAGAUUUAUCGCCCAGGGAUGAGCCCGCGUAGGAUUAGCUAGUUGGUGAGGUAAAGGCUCGACCAAGGCGACGAUCCUUAGCUGGUCUGAGAGGAUGAUCAGCCACACUGGGACUGAGACACGGCCCAGACUCCUACGGGAGGCA
rnacentral:rRNA from 1 species